UACGUAGGGGGCAAGCGUUGUCCGGAUUUAUUGGGCGUAAAGAGCGUGUAGGCGGCCAGACAGGUCCGUUGUGAAAACUCGAGGCUCAACCUCGAGACGCCGAUGGAAACCGUCUGGCUAGAGUCCGGAAGAGGAGAGUGGAAUUCCUGGUGUAGCGGUGAAAUGCGCAGAUAUCAGGAGGAACACCAAUUGCGAAGGCAGCUCGCUGGAACGUAACUGACGCUGAGACGCGAAAGCGUGGGGAGCAAACAGG
rnacentral:rRNA from 1 species